rnacentral:lncRNA from 1 species
GCCACCACUGAUCUGACAGGAGGCGGAGUUCUGCGGUAACAUGAGUGAUGAGGAGUGGCUGCAAAUACAGAUGAAGCUUCGUUUGCUCACUUCCUGUUGUGUGGCCCAGACAGGGCACUGUCUGUGGCCCCAGGGGUUGAGGACCCCUGGCUUUAACAACAGAAAGACCCCAGUUACUGGAUUGGGAUCCACCCUCACUCAAUAUGGCCUCAGCUUAAUGAAAGACAUCUGCAGAGACCCUAUUUCUACUAAAAGCCACAUUCUGAGACUUCUCGUGGGCGUGAGUUUUUGAGAGACACUGUUCUGCUCCAUGCAGGGAGGGAAUUGGGAUCUGAAGACGUUGCAUUCGAGGUCUCGGGGCUCCUGAUGAGCAGCCUCGGCCUGACCUGGGGCAGGUGUGAUGUCUGCGGCUCACCAUCUCCACCCUGCCUGCUGUGGAAUCUCCACAACGACAGGUGCUUUGGAGGCCAGAGUGCAUGCGUACGGGCCCUGCACACGCUGAAUGUCACUGGGAACAAGGACACACCCCGCUUCCAGGAGAAGAUAGAACAUGUCGACCCCUUUUAGCCAUCCCCAGUGCAGGACAUGCUAUUGACUUCCAUGAGACAAACACCUACUUGGAAAUCAGGUUUUUUCUGUACCUUUUGAAGGAGCAGGAAUUUCCCAGCAUUUCCUGGACAAAGACGGAGGCCACAUUCGCUGCAUCCUUUCCAGCAAGAUGUCAUUCUGAGAUUUUUGUCAUUCCUGGGCGUUAUGAGGACUGCCAAGGGACACAAUUCCAUGGGAGGAAAGUUUUCUUCUAAGCUGCAAGCCAGCUCUGGCUUCUGGAGUUUCUCCUUAGGAUUGCAAGACAGUAGUUCCCUGUCCUUUAGGUCUUCUCCAGAAAUACCUUAAAAUAGCAAAUAAAAUAAGAUAUAAGCAAACAAAACCUGAAGUUAA